rnacentral:rRNA from 1 species
GACGAACGCUGGCGGCGUGCUUAACACAUGCAAGUCGAACGAUGAUGCCCAGCUUGCUGGGUGGAUUAGUGGCGAACGGGUGGGUAAUACGUGAGUAACCUGCCCUUGACUCUGGGAUAAGCCUGGGAAACUGGGUCUAAUACUGGAUACUACCGUCCAUCGCAUGGUGGGUGGUGGAAAGGGGUUUACUGGUUUUGGAUGGGCUCACGGCCUAUCAGCUUGUUGGUGGGGUAAUGGCUCACCAAGGCGACGACGGGUAGCCGGCCUGAGAGGGGGACCGGCCACACUGGGACUGAGACACGGCCCAGACUCCUACGGGAGGCAGCAGUGGGGGAUAUUGCACAAUGGGCGGAAGCCUGAUGCAGCGGCGCCGCGUGAGGGAUGACGGCCUUCGGGUUGUAAACCUCUUUCAGUAGGGAAGAAGCGAGAGUGACGGUACCUGCAGAAGAAGCACCGGCUAACUACGUGCCAGCCGCCGCGGUAAAAC